UUGCUGAUCUGGCGGUCGAGGUUACGCACGCCGCUUUCAGCGGUGUAUUCCUCCACGAUGCGGUUCAACGCCCCGUCGGUGAU
rnacentral:tRNA from 1 species